CCUGCCACAUCCUCUCCCCACUGCGCAGGCCUUUGGGGAAUGAGCGUGUUUGUGAUGGCUUGGAAAUGACGGUAGAGCUGCUCGUGGAUGAGUGCUGGGUAUCAGGCUGGCAGAGAGAGCACCCUGGCGUAAAGGAGAGUUUGCAUCUGCAGAGAUGUGAGUAAGCAUAUUCACAUUCCAGAAGGUCUCUCUUCUCAAGUCACUGGAGGACCAGCCCCCAAAUUCCCUACCCUGACGAUGUCUUGAGUUCACUUUGCCACGGCCUUUCCAAGACACCGCAGAUUUGACCUACGCUCCUCCCGCUCAAUCAAAGGAUGAGACGUUUGGAACACCUUCAGUGGCAAUGCUAUCCAAAAUCUGACCAAGAGCCACCCAGCUACGCUCUCGUCAUACCUUGACAUGGGAAAUUAGAGGUAAUGAUUGAACUUGCUGUGGCCUCAGUCUCAACACAGAACCUGGAAUUGGACCCCUCUCUCCAUCUUGUGCUGCUUCCUAGACCAGAGACGAAUCCACACUGGGUGGAGUUGAUCCCCUGACUAGAGAAGUUGAAUAUUCUGAAAGAGAUGUUCUAAAUGCUUAGAUCUUUAUGCCAACAUAGCUUGCCAAGUGAGUGCUGAAGAUGUGUAAGAACUGGAGGACAUGUAUUCAGGAAUAUAAAGGGUGAUUGAGGCAAAACACUCCUGCUCUCAAAGGACUUACCACCUAAUGGCGCAGAAUGAGACACAUGCCCACAAAUCAAUGCCAUCCAAGAUAGCAAGGAGAAAAUAAAAGUGUUCAGAGGAGAGAGAGCCAUUCCCUCAACCUGAAGAAAUCAGGCCAAGUAAUACACUUAACGUUGUUUUGCCACAAUUUGUCCCUCCACAAAAUGGAACUAAAUUUCUUGCCACCUGGCUCUUAAGACUAUGUUAAGGGCAUAAUGAGCCCAUUAAAAUAAAAGUGUUUUUGCAAGCAA